rnacentral:rRNA from 1 species
GACGAACGCUGGCGGCGUGCUUAACACAUGCAAGUCGAACGGUGAAGCGCCUUCCUUUUUGGUGGGUGUGGAUGAGUGGCGAACUGGUGAGUAACACGUGAGUAACCUGCCCCCUUCUUCUGGAUAACCGCAUGAAAGUGUGGCUAAUACGGGAUAUUCUGGGUCUGUCGCAUGAUGGGUCUGGGGAAGAUAUUGUUUCGGUGGGGGAUGGGCUCGGGGCCUAUCUGCUUGUUGGUGGGGUGAUGGCCUACCAAGGCGGUGACGGGUGGCCGGCCUGAGAGGGUGGCCGGGCACACGGGGACUGAGACACGGCCCAGGCUCCUACGGGAGGCAGCGGUGGGGAAUAGGGCACAAUGGGCGCAAGGCUGAUGCAGCGACGCCGCGUGAGGGAUGGGGGCCUGCGGGUUGUGAACCUCUUUCGCCAGUGAAGCAGGCCUGCCUCGUUUGUGGGUGGGUUGACGGUAGCUGGAGAAGAAGCGCCGGCUAACUACGUG